rnacentral:lncRNA from 1 species
CGCUCUCUCUCCUGGUUCUAUUUCUAUCCAUACCAAGCUCCAUUAUACCUUCUCUUUCUCACAAAGCAUUCUCCAAGGCGCCAACCCUCUUUUAAUGCCAUACUGUCCUCGUAACUGGUUUAAUGCCUUCUCACAGUUUCAAAUAUCAUUCUUGAAAAUGACUCAAUUUUGCCUACACGUUGACCUAUGAGUUGUACACCUACAGUUCCACAUAUACGUCUUACAAGCCCCUGACACGUAACAUAAUGAACACGUUUAUUGAUUUACGUCACCUAUGUACUCCUCCUGAUUUCUGGGCUUGGUGAAUGGCAUCACCAUCCUCUCUUCCUCUGGCUUUCUUCUUGUUGUUUUCCACUCUUCCAUCUCCCGAAGUUACUAUAUGUUUCUCUGUAUGCCCUUCCCAGUCGUUUCCAUAGCCUUGGCUCAAGCCUUCAUUAUUUCUUAUCUGGAUUACAGGAGCGUGGCUCCCACUCAAAUCUCUUCCUACCCUAAUCUGUCCUCCAAGUUCUUUUUCUAAAGCAUUAAUCUAAGUUUGUUCUUCCUAUCUAUGAUGUUCCAGUAACUUCAGAAUAUAUUCUAAACCCCUAAACUCAGUAUUCAAAGGCCUUCAUAGUUUAGUCCCUCUUACCUCUCCAAACCCUGGAUACUCUCAACAAUAGUUUCCGCCUGUUCUCCACACGGCUUGGCUUCCAGGGUUUUGCUCAAGCCUGAUGUACCUUCUACAAGGCCUCAGCCUUCAGCAAUCAUCUGGUCGAGUUCUGCCGAUUCUACAGUGCCUAACUGGAAAGAAAAUUAUCUUCUCCAAGAAGCUGUCCUUGAAUUCCUCUCCUUCCUGCACCCUACAGGGUACUUCCACGAAACUUUUCAGUACCUCUAAUAUAGCACGAAUCUGCCUACUCUGCAUUCCUCCUGGAGUAGGUGGAGAGAGAAAUUAUUUGUCUUUCUAUCUCCCGUCAACAGAAAGGAUCAAUAAAUGUUUGCUGAGUAUAACCACAAACACAUCAUAGCACAUGGAUGAAACUGAGUUUGUCUUAGUUACUGCCAACAGUCUCUGGUGCUUUAUUCACUCAUGUCUAGUCCCUCCCAUCGUGGACAACUGAGGGAAAAUAGAUGUUUCGCCCGUGAUCGUGUUGCUAGGGUUUAGAAUUCCCAUUCACUGAGCUUGGUGUGCUGGAGACGGCCUCCAGCAGGCUGCGCUGAACCUUCCGCACUUCUCAGGGACAGGAGCUACUCACCGUAAAAGUCACUUGGAGGCCUGACUGCAUGGGGUGCAGCGUCCUUGUGAAGAGUCCUCAGAUGGCUCUAGAGCUGGCAGUGCUGCUUUUCAGUAUUCAGCUCUGACAACUUCCCAACCCCCUCACAUCUACCACGGCCCCCACAGAGAAGAGAAAAGAAAAAAGCCCACAGACGCCCAGCCGAGGAUUCCUCUGGGCGAGGGGAGGCAUCAGAACAUGCUGAGAGCCAGAAGAUGUCCCAGAUUGGCAAGAGAGAAAUGGAAAUGACUUCAGUUUGGCCCCUGGCCCGAUGGGAGUUGCUGCCCAGAGGUGCCUAUGGACCAGAAGGCGAAACCAACUGGGCCUGGCUCCUGGAAAGCGAGAGAACCAGGGGACCACAACAACAAGCUUUUCUCCUCUUGGUUGUGACAAGACUCUCUUUCUGACCAGUUUCUUCUAACCGAGGACUGCUUUGAUUCUGACUUUGACUUGAUGUCUUCUUGAAGGCAGCCUCUUCGUUUCCUACCUCCGCUCUUGCAGUGCAGCCCAAGGGGAGUGGCCCUGCCCUGGGACCUGGGCCAGGAAACCGACUCACAGGGCCAUGACUUCAGGACUGCUGAGCACCAGUGGAAAAAGCCCGGGCUCCGUGCAGGGGAGGAGCGUUUCUGGCACAGAGACACCUGUGCCUGCACUCAGAAAGAUUAAUAAGAGUUCUGGAGUGGAAGAAUGAGGAUGGAAAAGCUGACUUGGAAUGGAAAACUCAACUGGUAGGAGGCCCUUCCAUGACCCUCUGGCCAAAGUACUGCUACAUUAUUUUAACUCUGUGUGACCAAGGGUUUGCGCCGUCAGAAGAUCCAGAAACUGUACGUCACCAACACUGCACAGAGCUCAGUGACAGUUACCCAAGGAGAAACUGCAGCUGAGUGACAGACCUACACUGCAGAUUCCCCGUGUGUCACCUUCAGGUUUUCUUUUUCACAUCUAAUGAAUUACAAGUACAGAUUGGCUGAGAUUUGUCUCCUUUUUCAUCUUUAGUAUUCUUCUGGGUUUACACCUCAUGUGAGUCCACUGUGCUGUUGUGUGUACCCAGAUUUGUGCAUAAACCUUAAAACACCAUCUGGAAAAGCAAAUGGCUCUUUGAAGUCUGUGGAGAAAGCACCAGAUGGAAGCUUAUGAGACUCUUGUUCCCAAAAGCCCUGCAUCUAAAACAACCUCAAGUAUGACAAAGACACAAUUCAUUCAGAGUCCUAGGCUUUGUUAUCAAUAAGAUGUAAAUAUGUUAGCAUGCAUCGCUCUGUUCCUGUGGUCAGCAGAGUGACAGUCCCCAAAGUUGUCCACACCCUCAUCCCUGGAUCUGUGAAUUUUACCUUACAGGGCAAAGGUGAUUUUGCUGAUGUGAUUAAGGGUAUGGAGUUUGAGAUGAGGAGAUUAUCCAAGCGGGCACGAUCUAAUCACAAGUUCUUAAACGUGGAGAACUUUUCUGAGUUGCAGUGGGAGAGGUGCAACAACGGAAGAGUCAGAGAGAUGGGAGCACGAGGAAGAUUCAACACCCUUGUGCUGGCUCUGAGCAGCAGGGGCCUUUGUGCGCAGACCAGAGAGAGACAUCUAGGAACUAAGGGCAGCCCGAGGUGACAGCCAUCAAGGAAGUGGGGACCUCAGUCCAACACCCACAGGGAAUUGAAGCCUGACUGAAUGAGCAAGGAAGUGGGUCCUUCCCUAGAGCCUCUAGAGGGGAAUGUGGUUCUGCUGGCACCUUGACUUGAGCCCAGUGACACCAUGUUUCUGACCUACGGGAACUGUCGAAUAAUAAGUGUGUUGUGCAAGGGAUGUGCAUUGGCUAUCAGUGGUGUUUCCAACUUUUGCUUACGAAAGCUUUGUUUAUUUGUCAAUUUAUUCACUGGUAAGUAAAUAUUAGUUUGCCCAUUGCCAAAUUGGAGGCAGUGGAUUUGUGGAGUUUAAUUUUAAUCUUAACAUAAGGCACAGCUGUGAAAUGUGGGAGAAUCUUAUCUGCAAUUAGCAAGUAUGAGACUUUCCACUGAGUUUUUAUUGUGAAUGUUCACACAUGUCUCAACCAGAUAUGCACAUAGUAGCCUUGUCCUUGAGUGUUCUGGGCUGGAAUAAAUUUGUGAACAGGCACUAAACAAAGUUAUUCCUAAUUUUUUGUUUUUGUAUUUUUUCU